CCAUUUGUCCAUUUUUGCUUUGGUGCCUGUGCUUUUGGGGUAUUCAAGAAAUCUUUGCCCAGAUCAGUGUCCUGGAGAGUUUCCCCAAUGUUUUAUUUUAGUAGCUUCAUAGUUUGAGGUCUUAGAUUUAAAUCUUUAAUCCAUUUUUAUUUGAUUUUUGUAGACGAUGAGAGAUAGGGGUCUAGUUUUAUUCUUUUGCUUAUGGAUAUGUAGUUUUUCCAGCACCAUUUAUUGAAGACACUGUUCUUUCCCCCAAUGUAUGUUCUUGGCACCUUUGUUGAAAAUGAGUUCACUGUAGAUGUAUGGAUUUAUUUCUGGAUUCUCUGUUCUGUUCCAUUGGUCCAUGUGUCUGUUUUUAUACCAGUACCAUGCAAUUUUGGUUCCUAUAACUCCGUAGUAUAAUUUGAAGUCAGGUAAUGUGAUUCCUCCAGUUGUGUUUUUUUGCUGAGGGUCAGGUUUUUUGCUAUUCUGGGUCUUUUGUAGUUCUGUAUAAAUUUUAGGAUUUUUUUUACUAUUUCUGUGAAGAAUGUCAUUGGUAUUUUGAUAGGGAUUGCAUGUAAUCUGUAGAUUGCUUUGAGUAGUAUAGACAUUUUAACAAUAUUGAGUCUUCCAAUCCAUGAACAUGGUAUAUCUUUGUGUCCUCUUUGAUUUCUUGCGUUAGUGUUUUAUAGUUUUCAUUGUAGAGAUCUUUCACUUCUUUGAUUAAGUUAUUCUUAGGUAUCUUAUUUUAUUUAUAGCUUUUGUAAAUACAAUUACUUUCUUGAUUUCUUCUUCAGAUUGUUUGCUAUUGGCAUAUAGAAACGCUAUUGAUUUUUGUAUAUUAAUUUUAUAUCCUGCAACUUUAGUGAGUUUGCUUUUUAGUUCUAAUAGUUUUUGGCGGAUUUUUUUAGGUUUUCCUAAAUGUAAGAUCAUAUUAUUCACAAACAUGGAUAAUUUGACUUCUUCCUUUCCAUUUUGGAUGCCCUUCAUUUCUUCCUCUUGUCUGAUUGCUGUAGCUGGCACUAGCUUCUUCUUUUUGCCACAGCAGCCUGCCUUAGAAACAUGAACACUCUUUCUUUUGCAGUUUUAAAAGAAGGUAGACAGCUGACCUAUGAGAAAGUGAACUUGAGUAGCAUUAGGGCCAUGCUGAAUAGCAAUGAUGUCAGCGAGUACCUGAAGAUCUCACCUCAUGGCUUAGAGGCUCGCUGUGAUGCCUCCUCUUUUGAAAGUGUGCGUUGCACCUUUUGUGUGGAUGCCGGGGUAUGGUACUAUGAAGUAACAGUGGUCACUUCUGGCGUCAUGCAGAUUGGCUGGGCCACUCGAGACAGCAAAUUCCUCAAUCAUGAAGGCUACGGCAUUGGGGAUGAUGAAUACUCCUGUGCGUAUGAUGGCUGCCGGCAGCUGAUUUGGUACAAUGCCAGAAGUAAGCCUCACAUACACCCAUGCUGGAAAGAAGGAGAUACAGUAGGAUUUCUGUUAGACUUGAAUGAAAAGCAAAUGAUCUUCUUUUUAAAUGGCAACCAGCUGCCUCCUGAAAAGCAAGUCUUUUCAUCUACUGUAUCUGGAUUUUUUGCUGCAGCUAGUUUCAUGUCAUAUCAACAAUGUGAGUUCAAUUUUGGAGCAAAACCAUUCAAAUACCCACCAUCUAUGAAAUUUAGCACUUUUAAUGACUACGCCUUCCUAACAGCUGAAGAAAAAAUCAUUUUGCCAAGGCACAGGCGUCUUGCUCUGUUGAAGCAAGUCAGUAUCCGAGAAAACUGCUGUUCCCUUUGUUGUGAUGAGGUAGCAGACACACAAUUGAAGCCAUGUGGACACAGUGACCUGUGCAUGGAUUGUGCCUUGCAGCUGGAGACCUGCCCAUUGUGUCGUAAAGAAAUAGUAUCUAGAAUCAGACAGAUUUCUCAUAUUUCAUGACACAUGUGAAGAGGCAUCGUGGACUUUUUUCUACUCAAUUCCAGCCAAUGUUGAAAAGAAAAAGAAAAAAAAACUCUCUAAUCGGUUGUACACACAUUGAAACUUAUAGCCAUGGCCAGAUUUUAUGCUAAAAAUGGUAGUUUGUCAAAGACAAAAUUCUCUUAGAAUCUAAUCCAACUUGCCAGCCCUGAGAAAAUCCCUUUUAAGGCCAAGGAAAGCUGAAUGCUAGCAGCCAGGCCUGUGGUACUUCCAUGAAAAACCAUAGCAGACAAUGCCCUCCCAAGUACUGAAAUCACACUGGAAUCCUCCAUGUUGGGUUCAUUUGAUUGUUUAACACAGGAUGUGUUGUGUCAUUCUGAAGUUUUUAUUUGGGGCAGAAGUCUUUAUGGAGAUGUAAAUGACAGCGUUUCUGGGUUAUGCAUAACUUCUCACUGGUCAGAGACACGAGUGUGUCAAGCAUGGAUAUUGCAUUGCAAGACUUGAAUCUAUAAAAAUUAGAAUCACACAGUACUACAAGCAAAACAGAGAACCUGAAAGAAGGUGCACAGACUGUAAGAAAAAACCCAAGUUUGUGAUAUUUCAGUGAUUCCAAAGAACAUUCUAGGUUUUUUGUUUGUUUUUUUGUUUUUUGGGUUUUUUUUUUUUUUACUGCAGAAAAUUGGUGGUAUUUUCACAUUCAUAGUGUUUCUAUCCAAUUUCAGUACCCACAUUUAAUGAGGAAAAAAUGUUUUACCAAUGAAGGAAGAAUUCUUAAAUUAGCUGUAAUGUUAGGUUGGAGAAAAUUUGGUAUUUAGGGUAUUUUUAGGGUACCAUCAAAUCAGAUUUCUGUUUUUUUGUUAAAAAAAUUUUUUUAAUCAGUAUUGUUUUUACAAGUAAUAUACUUUGAAAUUCUUGAACUAAUAGUCUCAAAAAUUCUAGAGGACAGUCUGAGAACACGUAUUUCUAUUGUUCUAAAUAAAUACAUGUUUUUGAAUAGUAAGUUCAAUCAUGAAUUAUUGACUAUGUCUUCAUCAAAAGUGUUAAUCCCUCUCAGGGUCUCUGGUGAAGACCUUCAAGAGUUUGGUUUUUUCUCCCAGGAAAUUGGAAGGUAGAAUUGUAAAUUCUUAGAACUUCUUUUAUAAUGGUGUACCUCAGCAGCUGCCUUUCAAUUUAUGCCAAGUCCUUACAGAGUUUAUACUUGAAUAGUAAAUAUGUCUUCUGAGUUUUACAGUGUCUUAAACUCAAUGCACAUUUUUUUUUCUUCUUUUUCCACCCCUUCUUGUUUGUAGUUCAUUAUACCUGUCCUAUUACAGAACUGAUUUCCUUCCUGGCUGUACAUGUUGGGGUGCUGGAUUUUUUUCCGUGUCUUUAGUCUUCCAUAAAUCCAAAAAUAUAUAUAUAUAUAUAUAAAUAUAUAUGUAGAUACAUGUUCUCUUCUUUAGCUUGUGGUGAAUACAGUAAUUUGCAUUGAAGAAU
rnacentral:sRNA from 1 species